rnacentral:rRNA from 1 species
GACGAACGCUGGCGGCGUGCCUAACACAUGCAAGUAGGACGCAGUUGCGAACGGGUGAGUAACGCGUAGGUAACUACCUAUUAGAGGGGGAUAACUAUUGGAAACGAUAGCUAAUACCGCAUACUAGUAGAUGGACCUGCGUUGUAUUAGCUAGUAGGUAGGGUAAUGGCCUACCUAGGCAACGAUACAUAGCCGAGCUGGGGAGGUGGACGGCCAAACUGGGACUGGGACACGGCCCAGAAUCCUACGGGAGGCAGCAGUAGGGGAUCUUCGGAAAUGGGGGGAACCCUGACCGAGCAACGCCGGGUGGGUGAAGAAGGUUUUCGGGUCGUAAAGCUCUGUUGUUAAGGAAGCGGUACUUGAACAGAAAGGAACGGCUAACUACGUGCCAGCAGCCGCGGUAAUUC